UGAGGAACAUGACCUUCGGCGGGGGAGUAGCCGGCCCAACGGCCGGGUAAUACCGCGUACGACCACAUGGGGACAUCCCCGAGUGGUGAAAGCAGCAAUGUGCCGAUGGAGUGCCUCGCGGCCUAUCAGCUAGUUGGUGAGGUAACGGCUCACCAAGGCGACGACGGGUAGCCGGCCUGAGAGGGUGACCGGCCACACUGGGACUGAGACACGGCCCAGACUCCGUACGGGAG
rnacentral:rRNA from 1 species